UUAGACUUUUAGAAAUCAGAGACUCUUAGAUGUUUUGCUGUCCUUAGGAUUCUGGUUUGAAUGUUUGCUGUGCCUCCUGCUUUAAAGUCCUCAUGUCUACACUCUGUGUGUCACCUUUUCUUUGAAUUCUGACUGAAUGGCCUCAAGCUGAUGCUACAGUUUAACUCUGAAGACAAAGCUGUGUUUCUAAACCGAGUGAUCGGGGAAGACACUGUUCUCGUACUUCCUCAGAAAGGCUCUAGGUUCUCAUCAAACACCUGAGACAGGGCUGCAGAGAUAGGCAGAGCACUUCCCUCCCAAGGGGAGGACUUGAGUUUGAAUCCCCAGAACGCACAUCCAAGUGGGAUGCAGCAGCAAAGGCCCUUUGUCUACCAAACUCAACUGUAUGCCAUUUACUCUCCAUCCUGCUAGUGACUCUAAAUGCCUUUGUGCAAAAUGAGAUCAAGUAAGAGCUGCACGAGGACAUGGGUUAUAAGAAACAAGGAAGGCCUGGAAGAAGUCUAUCUAUGGAUAGUGAGGCUGGCUGGGAAACUGCUCACUAUUCUCCAUUCUCUUCCUGCUAGAGGCUUCCAGUUGUUGGUGAGAUAACUUCUCCCCCAUUCCAGUCUGCUUCUCAACAUUUAAUCCUUCAAUCUCUGUAUCUUAUCUGGGUGACCUGUAUAGAGAAGUUCUGACUGCAGUUGCCUGUCCAGGGCAUAAGUCCCCGAGUGAGUGAAUUCCAGAUUGUUCUAAAACCACAUAGUACGUGGCAGUUGCUGAGCAUGUAAUUAUGUGGAAGAGGAAACUGCACUACAUCCAAACACAUUUCAUAUAAAGUCAAUCCUCAUGCUUAGAUACUAAUCAGUUAUUUUUACAUCCUUCACAACUUUUGCUGUUCACUGUGUUGGGAAGUGUGAAUUUGUAUUAUAUUUCAUUUCUGCAAAGGAAGAGACAGUUUAGCCC